AAGGUAGUAUGUAAUAUCAAAAAUCACUAUAGAAAUAUAGAAAUCUUGAAGCCACUGAGUAUCAAGGACAUGAAUCUCAAAGAAAGGAAAUCCUCAAUACACUCUUUUAUUAUUGAAGAGAACUAGAAAGUCACUUAAAAGGUGAUGUAAUACUAACUAAAAUGGCUAUUUCCAAAAACAAAAAGACCAGAAAAUCUUGAAACAAGACUAAGACUAGAAAGGCAUUGACAAGAGUGAAGAAGGCUUCAAUCUUGCCUCCAUAUA
rnacentral:lncRNA from 1 species